rnacentral:rRNA from 1 species
UACGGAGGGUGCGAGCGUUGUCCGGAAUCACUGGGCGUAAAGGGCGCGUAGGCGGCCUGAUAAGUAGGGGUGAAAGUCCUGCGGCUUAACCGCAGGGCUGCCUUCUAAACUGUCAGGCUAGAGCACAGUAGAGGCAGGUGGAAUUCCCGGUGUAGCGGUGGAAUGCGUAGAGAUCGGGAAGAACAUCAGUGGCGAAGGCGGCCUGCUGGGCUGUUGCUGACGCUGAGGCGCGACAGCGUGGGGAGCAAACAGG